rnacentral:rRNA from 1 species
GACGAACCGAGCGAACGUUGUUCGGAAUCACUGGGCUUAAAGGGCGCGUAGGCGGGCAUCAUAGUCUGUGGUGAAAUCCGGCAGCUAAACUGUCGAAUUGCCAUGGAUACUGGGUGUCUCGAGGGAGGCAGGGGUGCGCGGAACUGAUGGUGGAGCGGUGAAAUGCGUUGAUAUCAUCAGGAACUCCGGUGGCGAAGGCGGCGCACUGGUCCUUUUCUGACGCUGAGGCGCGAAAGCCAGGGGAGCAAACGGG